rnacentral:rRNA from 1 species
AUACGAAGGGGGCAAGCGUUGUUCGGAAUAACUGGGCGUAAAGCGCACGUAGGCGGAUUGAUAAGUUAGAGGUGAAAUCCCAGGGCUCAACCCUGGAACUGCCUUUAAUACUGUCAGUCUAGAGAUCGAGAGAGGUGAGUGGAAUUCCGAGUGUAGAGGUGAAAUUCGUAGAUAUUCGGAGGAACACCAGUGGCGAAGGCGGCUCACUGGCUCGAUACUGACGCUGAGGUGCGAAAGCGUGGGGAGCAAACAGGAUUAGAUACCCUAGUAGUCC